UGAGUAACCUGCCCUUGACUCUGGGAUAAGCCUGGGAAACCGGGUCUAAUACUGGAUACGACCUUCCCGCGCAUGCGGUGUUGGUGGAAAGCUUUUGUGGUUUUGGAUGGACUCGCGGCCUAUCAGCUUGUUGGUGAGGUAAUGGCUCACCAAGGCGAUGGACGGGUAGCCGGCCUGAGAGGGUGACCGGCCACACUGGGACUGAGACACGGCCCAGACUCCUACGGGAG
rnacentral:rRNA from 1 species